AGCAACUUGUUACACUGUUAGAGGAACGAUCACUCUUCAAAUGCUCAAAGCUGGGUGUCUUUUACACCAUUAUUUAUGUUGGUCAUUCACCAUAUAAAGGCAGUGACAAAAUCAGAAGUUGAGUUGAAGGUGCACAUCUGAGGGUGAACUAAAUGAAUAGCGAGACAAGAGAGGCAACAUUCACAUCACAGCUCAAGGCAGCAUACAAGAAAUCCAGAGAAACGCAACUGCCACUUAAGAUGCUUCUGACAAUUCUGAUACCCCUCCUGCUCAUCGCAUCAACAAAUGCUCAGACCACAACGGCUGCACCCACCACUGCGGCUGCUACCACCGCAGCAGCUACUACUGCAGCUGCUACUACCACUGCAGCGACUACCAUCGUAGCUACGACCGUCGCAGCAACGACCGUCGCAGCUACGACCACCAACACCACCAACACUGCUGCUGCUGCACAUGCCCCCAUCAGCGGUCUGGCUGUGUGUCAUCUCAGCAUCAUGCUCUACAAGUUCCUCUUUACAGUAUAACU